GGUGACGAAGCGACGCCGCGUGUGGGAAGAAGGCCUUCGGGUUGUAAACCACUGUCGGGAGUUAAGAAAUGUAAGGAUGUUAAUAGUAUUCUUACUUGACUAAGGCUCCGGAGGAAGCCACGGCUAACUCUGUGCCAGCAGCCGCGGUAAUACAGAGGCGGCAAGCGUUGUUCGGAAUUAUUGGGCGUAAAGAGCAUGUAGGCGGCUAUGUAAGUCGGUUGUGAAAGCCUUCCGCUUAACGGAAGAAUGGCGGUCGAAACUGCAUGGCUUGAGUGCGGGAGGGGAGAGUGGAACUUCUGGUGGAGCGGUGAAAUGCGUAGAUAUCAGAAGGAACGUCGGCGGCGAAAGCGACUCUCUAGACCGUAACUGACGCUGAGUGUGCGAAAGCUAGGGGAGCAAACGGGAUUAGAUACCCCGGUAGUCCUAGCCGUAAACGAUGGGCACUAAGUAGAGGGGUUU
rnacentral:rRNA from 1 species